GAAACAUUUGUGCCCCUGCACCUCCCUGAGGUGGUGGCACUGCUCUUCUUGUCUGACUCUAGUGCCAGCUCCCUGUGUGAUCCUGAGCAAGUCUGUUCACCUCCCUGGACCUCGAGUUUUGGGGUGGGGUGAUGACGGUGUCUCUCUGCUUUCUUCAAGGGGCCGCAGUGAGGAUUUGAUGCCGUCGGCUUUGCAAAGGUGUCUGUGUGGCACAAAAUAAGGCAGCACUGUCAACACUUCCCUAAUGGAGGCCAUUCAAACAUUGUUUCGAAUGUGCCUGGCAGGUCCACCAAGAACCUGGUGCACCACCAGCUAGUCUGAAGCUUGAGAAAAGACGGGAAAAAGGGAAGAAAGGAAUGUGUCUGCUGUCCUUGCAGUGUUGUUGAAGAGCCCUUAGGUAAAGCACUUAGUACGAUGUCUGGCACAGUGGAGGGGCCUGAUAAGUGGAGACAUUAAUCUAACUGUUGUGACAGUGCGGAGCCAGGAAUCCAGGCUCCUGCCCAGCUCUCCCUCCAGCGGCUGCCGCUGCAGUUCCUGCCUCCCCCAGGGCUGCUUCUGGGAGACGUGGAGCCGGGAGCCGCCAUCAGGGCUGAACACAUUGGCCUGAGCUCCAACCUGCUCUCUACUGAAGCGUUUCCCUGCUGUCAUAUCACUGCCCUUUGCCAGCCUAGGUUAAUGCAACCUGGGAAAAGGCUCCAGUCUACAGCGAUGGUCAGCCCUGGAAGCGGGUGCUCCUCUCCCUCCUCCCAUCCCCCGAAUUCCCCCAGGCUCUGGCUAGUCAGUCAGUCUUUGCAGACGCCUGAUUCCUGCUAUGGCAGCCAUGUGCCAUGCAGGUGAGGGGCAGAGGUGGCACUGAGCUGGCAGCCCCAGGGUUGACCGGCAGCAGGACUGCAUUACUCUGCAAGGAUAGAGCCACCCUGGAAUCCCUGUCUUCUGAUUCAGGGAAGCAAUCUUCCUACAGGAGAGAGGAACUGGCACUGACGGCGGGCGUGCCUGGAGCUGUGUGGGGUGCUUUGCGUGCUGCCUGCCUUCGUUCUAGCAGCACCCCUCACAGUGGACGUUAUGGACCACUAUUCCAGAUAAGUAACUGAGGAUUGGGGUCACAGAAGGUCACUCAGCUGACAAGUGGCAGAGUCCGAAUUCUACGCCAGGUCAUCAUCACUUUGCCCUGCCCCCUGCCCCUCAGUGGUGGGCCUUUGGGCUGUGUUUUGUUGUAUUUUUGUAUUUCAUCCAGUGCAAGCCGAUUAUAGAAGAAACAAGGUGGGUGAGCCUGAGCUUUGAUUUCUUCAUCUCGCAUGUGGCCACAGGAGUGUCAUAGAAUGACCACACUGGAGCCACCUCAGCGAUGGGUAGAGCCACCCCCCCUGGUUUACAGGAGGGAAACUGAGGUCUAGAGGUGGGGAGCAACUUGCCUGAGGUUACAAGAUGGGUCAGUGGAGAGCUGGGCCAGGCCGGACUCUCCUUGGGGCCUCCUUCAUUGGUCUUUCUCAUCCUCCCUUGCUGGCCUCUUCACCUCUGUCCAGUUCUGCACAUUGGAGGAUCCCAGCCUGUCGCCCCUGGACCUCUUUUCUGCAUCUCAUUCCCCGGGUGACCCAGUCCCAUGAUUCUAAUUACCAUCUACAUGCCCGCCCUGAGUCUCAACUUGAGACCUCUAGCCCUGACCCCGCCUUUGAACUCCAGCCCAUCUGUCCAGCUGCCUUGGCCUGUCCUUAGACAUCUAAGAGGCUAACAAACUGGAUGUGUCUAAAACACAACUCUUGAUUUAGCUGUAUCCUCCCGGCUCCCACCAAGCUUGCUCCUCCCACAACUUCCCCAUUUUAGUCACUGGACCAUCAUCUUCCCAGUUAUUCAGGCUGAAAGCAUUGGUGUUAUCCUAUAUUUCCUUCCCUCAACCCCCACAUCUGAUCCAUUAGUAAAAAUAUAUUGCAGUCUGACCCUUCUCCCAUCUCCACCGUCAUCUGAUGCUGCAGCAACCUAACUGGUCCUCCUGCAUCCUCUUUUCCCGUCAAGAAUUUAUUCUUCUCACAGCAACCAACGUGCUCUCUUUUAAACAGAACAGGUUGUAUCAUUCCCCUGCUUGAAAACCUUUCAGUGACUUCACAUCAAUUCAGUAUGAAAUCCCAACUCCCUGCCAUGGUCCACAAGGCCCUACAGGUCCUGGGCUUCUGGAAGCCUCUGUCUCCAUUUUCAUCUCCUCCUGCUUCCUGAGAAUGAUGCACUGUCUCUUCUUUUUGUUCCGUGAGCACCCCAAGGUUGCCCCUGCCUCGGGGCCUUUGCACGACUCUUCCAUUUUCUUGGAACCCUCUUCCAAGAUCGUGGCUCAGUUGCUUCCUCAUUGUUGACAUCACUUGUCACAUUCCCUGAAUACCCUGUCUAGAGAAGCACCACCCCUCUGCCCAUCACUGUCUGUCACACUGGCAUGCUCUCUCUCUCACAGCCCUUGUCGUCACCUGAAAUCAUCUGGGUUAUUUGCCCACUUGUGGACUGUCUUUUCUCCUCACUGGAAUGUAAGUUCUGGGACUGUUUUUGUCCCUGCCACGUCCUCAAUACUAACAACAGUGUGCCUAGCACAUGGCAGGUGCUCAAUGAGUACUUGUUCACAGAACCAGCCACAUGGACUAAGGGCCUAAGUUACAACUCAAGUUUAUUCUAGGUUGCUGCCCCCAGACUCUCUUUUGUAGGACAGCUUUUCCCUGUCCUACGACUUCUUUAAGACAGUAAUUUCUUUAAGUGCUCAGAGGUCACUCAUUUAUCUACCAGCUCUACCACCUACAGGCUGUGUGACCUUGGGCAAGUUACUUAAUGUCUCUGUGUCUCAGUUUUGUCAGCUGUAAAAUGGGGGUAAUAACAGUGCCCACUUCAUAGAGUAAAUGUGAGAAUUGAAUGAAUGCAUAAAGAGUGCUUAAAACAGCACAGGGACACAGUGUUCAAUAACGUUAGCUCUAUUAUUUUUAUCAUCGUUAUCAUCACCACUGUCAUCAUCACUGGUGUUUUUAAUUGAGAUAUACUUGACAUAUAACAUAUUAGUUGCAGCUGUACAGCAUGAUUCAAUAUACGUAUAUAUUGCAACAUGAUCAGCAAAAUCUAGUUAACAUCCAUCACCAGUCUGACUCCUGGAAGAGGCAACUGGUGUCUCUGCCUUCACGUAAUAAUACUUUGUGCCACUCUGCCUGCACAGUACCCUCCAGUGGUUUUCGAUUUCACUUCAGAAAAAGACCAAACCCCUUUAAGUAGCCUGUGAGCCCCACAAGCACCUCUCCAGCCUCAUCCUGCAUGGCUUUCCCCGUUGUUUGACCCCCUGCAGUCACACCAGCCUCAUUUCAGCGUUCAUGUGACUUCUGCUUGUCCCACAUCAGGCACUUUGCCUGGAACUUACUCUCCCUCCACCUUUACCUGGUCAGUGCCUGCUCUUCGUCCCCAUCUCAGCUAGGUCAUUACCGUCUUAGCCUCCCACGACCACUCACGAGGGAAAUUCCCUAUUUCACACUCGGGGCAACACGUCCCUCUGUGGUAGCACGUCUCACAGUUGUGCGUUUGCUCUCUGCCUUCACUUGGAUUAACAUCUGCCUUCCCUGUUAGAUGCUAAACUCCAUGAGAACAGAGACCAACUCGUUCUUUGCUCACCUUUGUACUCCCAAUGCGAGCAGUGUUUGCACAGAGUAAGUAUUCAAUAAAUAUUAAAUGAGUGAGUGAAUGAAUGAAGGGGAGAAAGCCUUUGGGGUGGAGGGUAGCCCUUCAGAUCAAGCACAGACCUGCCCCAAGUGAAAAUCUGCUGCCUUUGCAUAACCAACUGGCCUCCUGCUGUGAAGCCCGAACAGCUCCUGACUUCCAGCAGGUUCCACUUGCUAGCAACGUGGCAUGGGCAGCCCCUGCCUGCCAUGCUGCUUUCACAGGGUGCGCACAGAGCUACAAAAAUGGGAAAGCCUUUGCUCGUCUAAGCCAAGAUAGAAACUGGACGUGAAGCUGCAGCACAAUGGAGAAGUCUGUCUCGCUUCCUGGACUCGGCUGUCUUACUGCCAGACACUCAGCUUUUCCUUCCCUCUCGAAACAAGGUGACUGUGGUGUCCUGAUGGUGGACUGCUCUGUUCUGAUUUAGCUGGCUGAUGGUGUUUUCUUUAAUUGGUUCCAUCAGAGGUCCUUCAGGCUGCAGACCCGGACCAGUCACCCCCAGAGUCUGUACCAAGACAUGGCAAAAUGAGAAAAAUAGGGACCAAAUAGGGAGUUUUCCUAAAACUAAAUGAAUUCUCAGAUUGUCUGCC
ensembl:lncRNA